UACUUAUUGUUGUAAUGGCUUUGGCUCAAACAAGAAAAGAGAGGAAACUUUUGAAAGAAAGGAUGAAUAAAUAAGGCCAUUUACUAGUGUUUCACUACCAGUUCUCCAUAUAUCUAUCUUACACGUGACCCUCUGAUGCACUCGAUUCAGUGCUUAUGGCUCUGAGCUUGUGAUCCAAAGCUUGUGACUCUGAGAGCCUCUGAUGGGCCCUUGAGCAAGAUUCUUCUCCACCAACUGCUCACCUGUAUGCUUGGAUUCUCUCCAGGUCUGUUCAAAUGGAACUGUAACUCAAGAAGCUACAAUCAUCAAUUUAAAGGGCAAUUAUAUGAUCAUGUGAAUGACGCAUUGGCCACCUGAAGCUUCCUGGCUCACAACCAUGACAUUCUCUACUCUUGACUGUAAGGUGUUUCUUAAUUAACAGAGGCCCACUUCAUAAGACACCCUAUGCCAUUAAUGCCACAUCACAGUCCUGAUGUCUGAUUACCAGCAUGUGGACAAAAUUACCAUACUUUCCA
ensembl:lncRNA